CAGGAUUAGAUACCCUGGUAGUCCACCCUGUAAACGAUGUCUACUAGCCGUCGGGGUCCUUAGUGACUUUGGUGGCGCAGCUAACGCGAUAAGUAGACCGCCUGGGGAGUACGGCCGCAAGGUUAAAACUCAAAUGAAUUGACGGGGGCCCGCACAAGCGGUGGAGCAUGUGGUUUAAUUCGAUGCAACGCGAAGAACCUUACCGGGUCUUGACAUCCUCGGAACUUGGCAGAGAUGCCUUGGUGCCUUCGGGAGCCGAGUGACAGGUGCUGCAUGGCCGUCGUCAGCUCGUGUCGUGAGAUGUUGGGUUAAGUCCCGUAACGAGCGCAACCCUUGUCCUUAGUUGCCAGCACGUCAUGGUGGGAACUCUAGGGAGACUGCCGGUGACAAACCGGAGGAAGGUGGGGACGACGUCAGGUCAUCAUGGCCCUUACGACCUGGGCUACACACGUGCUACAAUGGCUGGUACAGAGGGUUGCUAAGUCGCGAGGCGGAGCUAAUCCCUUAAAGCCAGUCGUAGUCCGGAUCGGAGUCUGCAACUCGACUCCGUGAAGUCGGAAUCGCUAGUAAUCGCGGAUCAGAAUGCCGCGGUGAAUACGUUCCCGGGCCCU
rnacentral:rRNA from 1 species